UCCACCAUCAUGGGUACCUGUCAUCACAGCCGGUCAAUGCUUGGCAGCCUCAAGGAAGUUUCUGAUCCUUCCUUCAAGAGGUGUACUGCUACCAAGUCUCCUUGAUAUUCUUCUGGACAUUGGAGGCAGUGCUGGGAGGACAGGCCUCUGGGGAAAUGGCCCUGCCUGGAACAUUGGCUUUGCCCUCCCUGGCCUCCGGUGAGGACCAGAAUUCCACUGGCAAGGAGAUGUCUCCUCUCCUUGGUCCAGGGAAGGUGUUCAGCCACGGCGAAUGGAGGACAAAGAAGGCUCCUUUCUCAGCCACUUGGGUCCACAUGUACACUUAACCACAGCUGCUCGCUGCGGCAGACUGGAAACCGCCAGAAAUUCCCUCACCGAGGCCAAUGGGUCUGACAGGCCUGCUUCCCUCCCCUGAAGGUCACAAAGGAUGUGUGAGCAGCUGACCAGGGGCAAGCAGUGUUCCAGAGACUGGCUGCUCCCUUCUUCUGGGCCCAGGAGGAAAGGUCACAGCAGUAGUCUACACCUGACCCAUGACGGACCUGUGGCAUGAGCAAGAAGUAAACCCUGUAGGGGCACCUGGGGAAGUGCAGUCAGUUGAGCGUCUGACU